rnacentral:rRNA from 1 species
UACAGGGGGUGCAAGCGUUGUUCGGAAUUAUUGGGCGUAAAGCGCGUGUAGGCGGAUCGUUAAGUCUGGUGUGAAAUCCCUCGGCUCAACUGAGGACGUGCAUCGGAUACUGGCGACCUUGAGUCCUGGAGAGGGUAGCGGAAUUCCCAGUGUAGAGGUGAAAUUCGUAGAUAUUGGGAGGAACACCGGUGGCGAAGGCGGCUCACUGGCCCGGUACUGACGCUGAGGUGCGAAAGCGUGGGGAGCAAACAGG